CCCCGAAAGCUAUUUAGGUAGCGCCUCGUGAAUUCAUCUCCGGGGGUAGAGCACUGUUUCGGCUAGGGGGCCAUCCCGGCUUACCAACCCGAUGCAAACUGCGAAUACCGGAGAAUGUUAUCACGGGAGACACACGGCGGGUGCUAACGUCCGUCGUGAAGAGGGAAACAACCCAGACCGCCAGCUAAGGUCCCAAAGUCAUGGUUAAGUGGGAAACGAUGUGGGAAGGCCCAGACAGCCAGGAUGUUGGCUUAGAAGCAGCCAUCAUUUAAAGAAAGCGUAAUAGCUCACUGGUCGAGUCGGCCUGCGCGGAAGAUGUAACGGGGCUAAACCAUGCACCGAAGCUGCGGCAGCGACGCUGAUGCGUUGUUGGGUAGGGGAGCGUUCUGUAAGCCUGCGAAGGUGGCCUGUGAGGGUUGCUGGAGGUAUCAGAAGUGCGAAUGCUGACAUAAGUAACGAUAAAGCGGGUGAAAAGCCCGCUCGCCGGAAGACCAAGGGUUCCUGUCCAACGUUAAUCGGGGCAGGGUGAGUCGACCCCUAAGGCGAGGCCGAAAGGCGUAGUCGAUGGGAAACGGGUUAAUAUUCCCGUACUUGGUGUUACUGCGAAGGGGGGACGGAGAAGGCUAUGUUGGCCGGGCGACGGUUGUCCCGGUUUAAGCGUGUAGGUGUGUGUUCCAGGUAAAUCCGGUU
rnacentral:rRNA from 1 species